GUGUCAGCAGCCGCGGUAAGACGAACCGUGCGAACGUUGUUCGGAAUCACUGGGCUUAAAGGGCGCGUAGGCGGGUCUGCAAGUCCGGGGUGAAAGCCCCCAGCUCAACUGGGGAAGUGCCUUGGAAACUGCAGGUCUAGAGGGAGGUAGGGGCAUGUGGAACUUCGGGUGGAGCGGUGAAAUGCGUUGAUAUCCGAAGGAACGCCGGUGGCGAAAGCGACGUGCUGGAUCUCUUCUGACGCUGAGGCGCGAAAGCCAGGGGAGCGAACGGGAUUAGAUACCCCUGUAGUCC
rnacentral:rRNA from 1 species